AUUACAUACAGGCUGUGUUAGAAAACGUGUUCGCCUCGCAAAUCAUAGGCUAUCAACCAUUAUUACUGGUUACAAUAACGGUGUUAUCGGAUAGUACAGUGUCUAUUUCUCGGUAACUUUUGAAAAAUCUAAGCGAGAAAACGCCGAAUAAUGUACAUGUACAUACAAAACACGGCUGUCAGCGGAGUUUGGUCCGCCAUCUUUGUUCACAGUUUCCAGUUGCCGAGGGAGCUGGCGCAGAUUUGUGGCUAACAGGCAGCUUCAAGGCUGCGUCGAGGCAAAGGGAAGAGAGGUCGUAAGACAUUCCCGGCGCGUGUCCGAUGAUGAAGUACUAUUCUCGGACACUCGUGCUGGAAUGGUGGGUGUGCUGGAUGGAUGACUUGAACCAAACGAAGUUCCAGAGAGCGGGAGUUCCCGGCGGUGCCCCUUUCCUUGGUGAAUUUGGUCCGGCCGCCCCUCUGCCUGUCCUCCACGUCCCCUGGAUGUCCGGUUACCCCGGCGACUACGUGCCGCGUCCAAACAUCCUGCUCAACGUGCCGGGGUUUCACCCCGUGCCCGCUGGGCUUUACAGCUACGGCCCCCGCGGGCCCCCGGCGUUCCUCCACUACCCGCCUCCACCGCGGCCUGGGGCCGCUGCUGUGAUCCUCUGUGCACGCCAGCCGCCCCGGGAGCCGCCGCCGCCGCCGCCUCCCUCCGAACACACUGAGCCAGACGUGGAAGUGGAUUAAAGCAGCCAGCUGGUUCACAGUUUGUUAUCGAAUCUGUUCGUUUUCCCCUUCUGUUUUGUACCGAUGACAGUUCUGUUCACACUGAUGGCAUAAAUGUUUCUGCACAGUUUGUUUGUGCAAUAUAUCGAUAUUAAAUAAGGC
ensembl:lncRNA